AUUGUGCUUGCACAGAUGACGACCGGCGCACGGGUGCGUAACGCGUAUAGAACCUACCUUUUACAGAGGAAUAGCCUUUAGAAAUGAAGAUUAAUACCUCAUGGUAUUGUAGACUGGCAUCAGUUUAUAAUUAAAGAUUUAUCGGUAAAAGAUGGCUAUGCGUCCUAUUAGUUAGUUGGUAAGGUAACGACUUACCAAGACAGCGAUAGGUAGGGGUCCUGAGAGGGAGAUCCCCCACACUGGUACUGAGACACGGACCAGACUCCUACGGGAGGCAGCAGUGAGGAAUAUUGGACAAUGGAGGAGACUCUGAUCCAGCCAUGCCGCGUGUAGGAAGAAUGCCCUAUGGGUUGUAAACUACUUUUAUACAGGAAGAAA
rnacentral:rRNA from 1 species